GAUAAACGCUGGCGGCGUGCAUAACACAUGCAAGUCGAACGAUGAAACUUAGCUGAUUUCUUCGGAAUGAAAUUAAGUGGAUUAGUGGCGAACGGGUGAGUAACACGUGAGUAACCUGCCUUACACAAGGGGAUAGCCUUUGGAAACGAAGAAUAAUACCCUAUAAAGUUAGUCAAUCGCAUGGUAGACUAACCAAAGAUUUAUCGGUGUAAGAUGGACUUGCGUCUGAUUAGCUAGUUGGUGAGAUAAAAGCCCACCAAGGCGACGAUCAGUAGCCGGCUUGAGAGAGUGUACGGCCACAUUGGGACUGAGACACGGCCCAAACUCCUACGGGAGGCAGCAGUGGGGAAUUUUGCACAAUGGGGGAAACCCUGAUGCAGCGACGCCGCGUGAUUUAGAAGGCCUUCGGGUUGUAAAAAUCUUUUUUAUGGGAUGAAAAUGACAGUACCAUAAGAAUAAGGUCCGGCUAAAUACGUGCCAGCAGCCGCGGUAAUACGUAUGGACCGAGCGUUGUCCGGAAUCAUUGGGCGUAAAGGGUACGUAGGCGGCCUAGUAAGUUAGAAGUGAAAUAAUAUAGCUCAACUAUAUAAAGCUUUUAAAACUGUUAGGCUUGAGAGAUGAAAGGGAAAGUGGAAUUCCUAGUGUAGCGGUGAAAUGCGCAGAUAUUAGGAAGAAUACCGGUGGCGAAGGCGACUUUCUGGUCACCAUCUGACGCUGAGGUACGAAAGCGUGGGUAGCAAACAGG
rnacentral:rRNA from 1 species